CGGAGUCUGACCUCACUGUUGAGGUGUGGUCAGCCCCACCUGUAGGCGCUCACCAGGGACGGGUCACACUGCAAGCCCUGUGCCAGGCAUGGAGGAUUUAGCCACUUGCACACAGCAGGAGCUGAGCCUGGGACGGAUGGAAGGGGCGCGUCUGUGUGGGAGCUGCUGAUGGCCGGCCUUCCUGGAAGCCGGCGCAGGGGCUGCCCGUGAAGGAAGGGAGCUCGAGCGGCCCCGGGGGUCUGGGCACAAUCCCCUCCCCCGUGUCGGGACUGCCUCCGUCAAGGCAGUGGCUGGAUGGCCGAUCCCCCAGGGACGCCUGGGCUCAGUCCUCCUGUCUGGGUGACACACUCGUCUGGCACCGGGUCCUUGGACUGCAGAGGACGGUGGGCCUGAGGCCCUGGCUCAGGUUCCCCUCCAUUCUCCUGCUGGGGAUGGACUCGGUGUUCUCCUGCGAAAUGUGUCUGGGGAGCACUGUCUGCCCAACCCUGCCCCUGAGGCAGUGCCAGCCCCUGGGUCCCCUGUGAGCCCCUGUGAAUACACAGGGGCUUGUUCUGGGUCCCUGCCACCUCCGGCUCUCCCGGGGCCUGGCCAGGAGGCCAGCAGAGGCUGGGCCUGGCUUGCGGCAGCAAUGAGCCCUCCUGGUGUGCUGCUGGCGACGGGGGUGACACGCCGACUCUGUACCUGUGUGCCAACCUCAUUUCCACUGGCCGGGCCAGCAGACAGGCUGCUGCAGGCGGAGCCCAGAUACUCUGGUGGGGCUCUGCCCAGAGCCCUGUCUCCCCAUGCAGGCCCUGGGCCACACAGGUCCUCAGGGUAGGGCCCCGGAGCCUCUGGAGGGUCGGGCCUCCCAGAUGGGCAGCAGAAGGCAGUGGGGCAAGAUUGGAGUGUUCCCAGACCUUCUAGACAGGGUGACCCCCAAGCCCCACGACUGGCAUGGGAGUCCCGGCCCCCAGCCUGGCUCCCUGUGGGAGGAGGAGAGGGUGAUGGGGGCCCUGGAGCACAGGACCCCCAAAUGCGCCUCAGCUGGGGGGCCACUGGGGACCCCUGCCCGUCGCCAGGAUUUCAGGCAUGCAGAGUGUUUGAUUUUCUCCUCACCCCUCCCUGCUCGGAAUCCAAUCAAUCAGUAGAAGAAAUCUCUCG
rnacentral:lncRNA from 1 species